GUCUCUAUGGCUCAGUCGGUAGAGCGUUGGUCUCAUAGAAUUGUCUCUGUGACUCUAUUCUAAGAUAGAGAUAUCCAAAGGUCGCAAGUUCGAGCCUUGCUAGGGACA
rnacentral:tRNA from 1 species